GCAAGUCGAACGAUAAGCCACCUUCGGGUGGUGGACAGUGGCGCACGGGUGAGUAACACGUGGGGACCUGCCUGAUAGUAAGGAAAACAGUUGGAAACGACUGCUAAUACCUUAUACGCCCUUCGGGGUAAAGAUUUAUCGCUAUCAGAUGGACCCGCGCUAGAUUAGAUAGUUGGUGAGGUAAUGGCUCACCAAGGCUACGAUCUAUAGCUGGUUUGAGAAGAUGAUC
rnacentral:rRNA from 1 species